rnacentral:rRNA from 1 species
UACGUAGGCAGCGAGCGUUGUUCGGAGUUACUGGGCGUAAAGGGUGUGUAGGCGGUUGUUUAAGUUUGGUGUGAAAUCUCCCGGCUCAACUGGGAGGGUGCGCCGAAUACUGAAUGACUAGAGUGCGGGAGAGGAGACUGGAAUUUACGGUGUAGCGGUGAAAUGCGUAGAUAUCGUAAGGAAGACCAGUGGCGAAGGCGGGUCUCUGGACAGUUCCUGACGCUGAGGCACGAAGGUCAGGGGAGCAAACGGG